ACCUACCGUUCCGGAACUCGAUGGCAUGAAAGAGCCAACCCCUUCCUACUUUCCUCUGCACUGAUUCUUCAAAGUUUUAAAAGACGGGCUUGUCUCUCAUCUCCAAGACAGCCGUAAACUCCCUGUGUGCAGAGGAUGACUUGCAACUCCCGAUCCUCCUUGCUUUCCCAUCCCAAGUGCUGGGAUUAAAGGCCUGUACCACAUCCACUGGCUUUAAAGAAGUCAUUUCCAAUGGUGAAAACUGUGUCGAUGCCUCUGGGAGAGCCUUCUGCUGAGGGGAGAAAGACCUUGUUGGAGGAGGAAGGACCCUGUUCCCCAUCACUUCUAGGGAUGGCUGCUUCAGUAACCGUCCAUGUCUGUGUGUGGAUUGGCAUUUCUGUGAGGAUGUGAGGCAGGAAAAAAAAAAUCUGAGUAAAGUGUACCAUCUACUUUAAAGGACACCCAAUUUCACUCUCAACACACCCUAUUGGCUGUAACUGUUCUUCAGGACCAGAUCUAACUGGAAGAGACCUUGAAAAGAAGAUAGGAGGAAACACACAAACACCUGAACCGCCAGAAACUAUUACUGGGGAAGAGAAAAAGGAGGUUACUAGAGAAAAAUAUGCAACCUUUGUUCCUGGAACCAGGCAUCUAACUUUCUAUCCUAGAAAGAUAGAUAACCUAUUCUGUCCCUCCAGGGGGUGGGUGUGGCAGUCAGAAAGCUAGAACUCUAAUUUUAGGAUGAAGAUCUCAUAAAACCCUGCUGUGGGCCAGUGGGUGAUCAAAUGAUAUGUUUACAUUUUUAUUUUCAGAUUUACCCUUAAAUGUCCAUUUAAAAAUAGAUGUGAAGGAGAAGCAAUCUCAUUUUCCAGUUAUGUAAUAGCUAACGUGUUCCUAUUUCAUAGAAUUGUCAGUUACUAACAGAUAAGUCCAGCUGGGACUUUAUCUGAACCUGGGUAGGAAGUACAGACUUCAGUCAUAUUCAAAUGAUCUCAUUGUCUGGAUCUUGAAUAUUCAGGAGAUAAAGAUUCUUGGUUCUUCCUGUAUCUUCUUAGAAAUAGAAAUCCACCUCCCCAGGAUUGUCCAAAAUUCUACCUUAGAUUUUCCUGUAAUGUUAUUUUUGUCUCCUAAGCUUUCUUAAAUAUAUCCUGUGUAAAUGUGACUUCAUCUGGGCUGGGGGCUAGAGAAGGGGUUUAGAGGUUAGGAGUAGUGGCUGCUCUUCCAGAGGGCCCAGGUUCAAGUCCCAGCACUCACCGGGUGUAUUGUAACCAUCUGUAAUUCCAGUUCCGGGGGUGGGGGUGGGGGUGGGGAUCCGAUGCUUUCUUCUGGCCUCUGUCUGCACCAGGCAUGCAGGUAGUGCAUGCAGCAGAUAAAACUUCCAUACACAUA
ensembl:lincRNA Gm19583 predicted gene, 19583